GAUGAAGAACGUAGCGAAAUGCGAUAAGUAAUGCGAAUUGCAGAAUCCGUGAGUCAUCGAGUCUUUGAACGCACAUUGCGCCCCCUGGUAUUCCGGGGGGCAUGCCUGUCCGAGCGUCAUUGCUGCCCUCAAGCACGGCUUGUGUGUUGGGCCCCGUCCUCCGAUCCCGGGGGACGGGCCCGAAAGGCAGCGGCGGCACCGCGUCCGGUCCUCGAGCGUAUGGGGCUUUGUCACCCGCUCUGUAGGCCCGGCCGGCGCUUGCCGAUCAACCCAAAUUUUUAUCCAGGUUGACCUCGGAUCAGGUAGGGAUACCCGCUGAACUUAAGCAUAUCAAUAAGCGGAGGA
rnacentral:misc_RNA from 1 species